rnacentral:rRNA from 1 species
CCUACGGGAGGCAGCAGUCGAGAAUCAUUCACAAUGGGGGAAACCCUGAUGGUGCGACGCCGCGUGGGGGAAUGAAGGUCUUCGGAUUGUAAACCCCUGUCAUGUGGGAGCAAAUUAAAAAGAUAGUACCACAAGAGGAAGAGACGGCUAACUCUGUGCCAGCAGCCGCGGUAAUACAGAGGUCUCAAGCGUUGUUCGGAAUCACUGGGCGUAAAGCGUGCGUAGGCUGUUUCGUAAGUCGGGAGUGAACGGCGCGGGCCCAACCCGCGGACGGCACAGGAAACUGCGAGACUAGAGUAAUGGAGGGGGAACCGGAAUUCUCGGUGUAGCAGUGAAAUGCGUAGAUAUCGAGAGGAACACUCGUGGCGAAGGCGGGUUCCUGGACAUUAACUGACGCUGAGGCACGAAGGCCAGGGGAGCGAAAGGGAUUAGAUACCCGAGUAGUC